UACGUAGGUGGCUAGCGUUGUCCGGAAUCAUUGGGCGUAAAGAGCGUGUAGGCGGUCCGGUAAGUCCGCUGUGAAAGUCGGGGGCUCAACCCUCGAAUGCCGGUGGAUACUGUCGGGCUAGAGUACGGAAGAGGCGAGUGGAAUUCCUGGUGUAGCGGUGAAAUGCGCAGAUAUCAGGAGGAACACCGGUGGCGAAGGCGGAUCUCUGGGCCGAUACUGACGCUGAGGAGCGAAAGCGUGGGGAGCGAACAGG
rnacentral:rRNA from 1 species